GACGAACGCUGGCGGCGCGCUUAACACAUGCAAGUCGAGCGAGAACCUGGGCUUCGGCCCAGGGGACAGCGGCGAACGGGUGAGUAACACGUGGGUAAUCUGCCCUUGACAUCGGGAUAGCCCGGGGAAACCCGGAUUAAUACCGAAUAGCCUCCGGAGCCUUCGGGCGCCGGAGAAAAGGUAGCUUCGGCCUCUGGUCAAGGAUGAGCCCGCGGCGGAUUAGCUUGUUGGCGGGGUAACGGCCCACCAAGGCAACGAUCCGUAGCUGGUCUGAGGGGACGAUCAGCCACACUGGGACUGAGACACGGCCCAGACUCCUACGGGAGGCAGCAGUGGGGAAUCUUGCGCAAAUGCGGGAAACCGUGACGCAGCGACGCCGCGUGGGGGAAGAAGGCCUUCGGGUUGUAAACCUCUUUCAGGAGGGACGAAGCUACUCGGGUUAAUAGCCCAGAGGGUGACGGUACCUCCAGAAGAAGCCCCGGCUAACUACGUGCCAGCCGCCGCAGUAACAC
rnacentral:rRNA from 1 species